ACAGUAAUAGUGGGUUACUAUAUUCCGCUGUUCUGUAUAAAAGAGUUACACCGCUGCUUAUGCGCUUUCACUUGCUUGCUGAAAGAAGGAAAUGUUUCGACGUCAUUAAUGCGUGAACCCAUACAGUACCUGCCCUUCUCGUUAGCGGAAGUCGAACAAAGAGAGGAAAAAUCGGAGUCUAACGCUCUCAACAUCCUCAGGUUCAAGUGACAAGUCAACCCUCUGCCGGAUGUACAGGUCCUUCCCGCAUCCGGGGGUUGAAGGGACGAGGUGUGGCAAUGAUACUCCAAGAAGUGACGUUGCGAUGACGUUUAGCGACCUACAACGCUGAACCUCAAAAUUUCGCUCGAAUUUCACGAAAGAAGAAACAGCGGGCCUAGUUGGUGCCGGUGGGUUAUCGCUCACCUUCUUAUUGAUUUUUAUGCUGAUGAUAUCGUUUGACAGUUCUUCCUCAUCUGGCGUUGUGAGUCAGAAAUAGCAAACUUCAAUAGUAUACAAGAAGAGGAAGCUAAUUUAGUAUGCAGUAUUGUACAUAGUUGCCGUGCGUGUGCCUUCGUAUCAGGUCUAUGUUAUCUGUUUUGAUUUUGUCUAAACCGCUUAAUAUUUAAUACUUUUGUGGAGUACAAAAUAUAUAACAAAACACAUUAUAAGUAUAAAUAAUUCUAAAGUAGAACACUGCGCACCCAUAACGGCUAUAUUGGAAAGUAGUAGUGCAUCGGUUUUUUAAAGCAGAUGCUACACAGCCGAGCAACAGUUCAAAUUCGACGCGAACUUGACGCGGGAAGUGUAGGUCAGUAGAUCAAUUUUGAGAGAGGCAGACCGGCAAAGCGCGGGAAAAGGCCUACCAACCUCACAAACGAUGCGUGCGCUGGCCAUCAUUCGGCGUUUACGGAUUCCGGCACGCGCUUCCGCAUUUUACGUCAGUAGUUCUUUUUACGUCGACAGUCUCAGAUGUAUUGCAGUCAUUUUUAUUACUCCUGGAAAUGUUUUGGGAAUACGAUUAAACGUCUAUAAUGACUCCGUCUUUUGAAUAUUAGUUGCAGUAAUAAUUUUAUGCCAAUGGCAUGUUAAAACAGAUAGGAUGUUUUAUAUGUUAACAGUUACAAUUAAUUAAAAAAAAGAAGGACUAAGGGUGGGGAGGGUGUUAUAUGAUAGCUUUAAUAUUUUCCUCACAAAUAUUUUUGAUUGUACAUCGAAGGUUUUGAUGAUGCUGGAGAUGAAUUCCAGCUAUUUUGAAUCAGAAAUCACUUCUACUUUUAUUAUUAUUAACAUGCUAAUUUCAGCAACGUGAAUGGCAGAAGUUAACCCUUUCGUGGAGACACUUGAGAGGGAGGCUUCUGCGCUAUAGAUUUAUUAAAACAAAGGAGUUAACCCUUUCCAUAUUUAAUAGAUAUAGUAAAUUUGAUGGAAGAAGACAAUCCUAGACCCGCUUUCAAGAAUUUUAAACGGAAAUUUCAUUAUUCUGAUCGCUAGUAAGCUAGACAAAUAACUGUUUUGUCAUUUCAGUUCAGUUCGGACCUAGAAAUGUUCCGGUAAAAUAAUAUAUAGCGGCAACAAAUUUUGUGGCUCCGGGUAAUUUGCCCCCUUUACUGAAAAGGGCCGACUUGGGUAGCUAUCACUAAUUUCAACAUUUUGACGGCUAUUAUUUUGUUGUACUGUGGCUACUAGAAUAGAUUUUGUAAUCAGCUUUAUAAGAAAAAAAAAAUAAGUAUGAAGAGGACAAGUAGUAGCAGAAUUAGCAACUUCAAGUUUUACUACGGGCCGAGGCACAUACUUACUGAAAGUAUUGCAAAUAAGACAGUAUAUUUACAAAUUUAUUUUGUAUUUUUUGGACGCACACUUGCAAUAAACACCAAAGGGCACGGCAAAUAUAGACACGCACACACAAGCACACGCAAAUAUUCGUACAUCUAAACUGAAACACACCCUGUGUUUCAUUUUAUCUUCUUGUAUUGCAUUGUUUCUGUUGAUAUGAUAUACAUUUAUGUAUGUGUUGUGUUGCUGUGUGUGUAUAUAUGUAUAUAUAUAUGACUGUGCAUGAGAAAAAUACACAUAAAGGUGACCGAUGUUGAGCACGUUGGAAUGUAAUUGACAUGGCAUCAGGUCAUAUCGCAAUGAAUAGACUUCAUUAUUGAUAGAUAUAAUUGUCUAUUCAUUUGCGUGUGCUUUUCAUUAAUCAUAACCUCGACGCUUGAGUUUUUUAUGAUAGUAAAGUAAGUGCGAGUCCACAGGGGAAAUCCAUAUGUCAGCGAUUUGUGUUUCCGCUCGCACAGCAUUUAUCAAAAAUUAUUUUUAGGAUUAUGUUUUCUUUUAUAAGUCUGAAUUGGGAAUUUAUUUUAUAAAAUAGUCUUUUAUAUUUUUUAUUGUGAGUUUAUAUACAGCGUAAUGAACGUAAUAGUGAGAUGUUUCCAGUUACAAAAAACAUAUGUUAGAACAAUAAAUACUGAACAGUA
rnacentral:lncRNA from 1 species